ncrna:unclassified sequences IS605-orfB-II RNA
UAUGAUUAGCUAUCUAUAGCUAGGAUUGUAUAGAGGGUAGUCGCAGUCACCCCAACUCCGACUUGUGGAUACAAUCUUUGAUUUCAUUCAUAAGUAAGGUGAGAAACAACAAUUAUGUUGGAAACUUUAAUUUUAUUAAAAAAUCAAGGAACUGC